GGGGAAUAUUGGACAAUGGGCGCAAGCCUGAUCCAGCAAUGCCGCGUGAGUGAUGAAGGCCUUAGGGUUGUAAAGCUCUUUCGCACGCGAUGAUGAUGACGGUAGCGUGAGAAGAAGCCCCGGCUAACUUCGUGCCAGCAGCCGCGGUAAUACGAAGGGGGCUAGCGUUGUUCGGAAUUACUGGGCGUAAAGGGCGCGUAGGCGGCCUGUUUAGUCAGAAGUGAAAGCCCCGGGCUCAACCUGGGAAUAGCUUUUGAUACUGGCAGGCUUGAGUUCCGGAGAGGAUGGUGGAAUUCCCAGUGUAGAGGUGAAAUUCGUAGAUAUUGGGAAGAACACCGGUGGCGAAGGCGGCCAUCUGGACGGACACUGACGCUGAGGCGCGAAAGCGUGGGGAGCAAACA
rnacentral:rRNA from 1 species